UGUAAAGAUGGUAUUUUUGGUUUUCUAAGGUA
rnacentral:piRNA from 1 species